ensembl:lncRNA
UGAAGGAAUAUGGGUGAUUGAGUUUACCAGCUUUCCAAGUGGUUCUCAUUUCUUUUUCCUUCCUGAGAUAGUUAAAUGCACAUUACUCAACUGUGUAAAAACAAAUGGCCAACUCUCCCACUUUGGGUGGAUUUCAAAUGAAAGUGGGCUUAAUUAAAGCUUUAGGAAGCUUAAGAGUUAAUAAGUGCCCAUUAAAGAGUAACCACCAACCAUUUACUGUCUGUUUGCUAGCAAUAAGGAGCUGGGGUGCUUGCAGGCACGCUGGCGUGUGGGAUGGAGGGAUGCAUUAGCAGGGACCAUCCUAGUGCUGGAGGGAAGGGAGAAUCAUCCUAAUGCUGGAGAGAAGGGGUGUGUGGCACAGUGCCUGGCCUGGGAGGGUAGACACAAGCUGAGGGGAAGAAGGAACAGACAUUUGACCUCUUAGAAGGCUGGACAAAUGUCUUGAGCUUGGAAACACCAUGAGGUGUUUAGAAGAUUUCACAGUUUUCUCCCAACCCUGGAAAGAAUGUAAGUCGAUGCUGCUGAUUGCCUUUGAAAACAUUUGGAACAAAUUAUCUCUACUUUUGGAAUCUGAAUAAAGGAAUGUGAGCCUCACUGGAGAAAUAUGAAAUACAGGGUGGGAUUCUCAGAAGAAAACUUGCCUCAGUUUCCCUGCCUGCAAGGUGCUGCCACACUGUGGUGCUGUGGAGUUUUCAUCAGCAAAACAAUGGAGAUCUCCAAGGGAAAGGUGUUAUGUAAAUUCAGGAAGCUCAGACUGAUCCACACUAAAAUGCUGAUGUGGCUAUUUGCAAUCUGGCUCGGAGCAAGUGCCCUUCUUCCAGUGCUUCCUAAUGCAGUGGAACAACACCAUCACUAAGAAAAGAUCACUCCAACAGCCUCCACCAGGGAAUUCAGAAACGAUCAUUAGACCAUCAAGUUCCCACUUGCGAUGUGACAAGCAGAACAUCUCUGUGUUAGGUCAGUUUUGAACUGAAGCCCAGAAAAAAUAGAAAAUGGAGUGCAAAUAUGUCCUCAGCUCUAGAUCUCCUGGACUUCAGGAAAUCUACAUAAACAUAGAGUCCCACUCAGCUUAAAAGCUCACAGCAGUGAAAUAUUACUAAUAAAACAUCAUCAAUAAACUUUCACAUACAGUAAUUGGAAUGCAAAAGGUAUUUAAUCUUCAAGCAUAUCAUAUAUCAUGGCUGAAGCCUGGAAAACUCUAAGAGCGUUUAUAUCCCUUCGCAUUUUCUGGGUUUAGGUUCCAUGCAAGACAAAGGAAGCAUCUGUAUGGAAAGUAUCAAUUCUGUGGCAAGGGUUAGGGAUUAAACUGCUGCUCUCUAAGUAUGUAUGUGUGUCUAAGAUGUAUACAUUUUUUCUGAAAGGAAGCCAGUCAAUCAGACAUUGAUUUUCCUGCAAAAAGUAUGAUUCAUUGAUGCACAGUUGUUGUUAUUUAAGAAGCUCUAUUAGUUCUUCUCAUACAUGGAUUUUUGCAUCUAAAAUAUAUGCUUUGGUAGCGAGUUUGUGCCUCUGUUUUGCAGAAGAGGGAAAUCUUUACCUAGAAAUCUUAAUCUCCACUGAAUACUACCUUUCAGCUAAUGAGAUUGCUGUCACCUAAAUUUUCAUUGUUUUAAAAGCAAGUGGCUGCCGACAGUUUCCUUUCAAGCUUGAAUGAUGAAAGGAAAACACCACGCUGCCUCAUCUGGCUAGCUUGCUGAGAGCUAAUGAGCCUGAGGCUGCACCCAUCUUUGCUAUACUAGUGUGACCUUAUGUCUGCUAAUGCACAGGGAAGGAGUGAAAAAUGUACUGUGAGUUCCCUCCAACAGUUCCCUGGGGACAUUCUGAAUGUGCCAAGCAAUUUAGUAAAUAUAUAUCAAGUUACUGUAUUGAAACAUACUUCAAUGUAUUGCGACCCUGGGUAUCUCAAUCUAAAGAUCAUAUUUUAUUUUUUGCUCAUCUUCCC